rnacentral:lncRNA from 1 species
GAAAGGGCUUCUUUGCUGCUCUUGCUUAGCCCUAAGUAUGUCACCAUGGACAUAACAGGUGCUGCCAAUGCAAAGACCAGCAAGUGUUUUCUAAUUCGAUUCCGUUCCAACCCAGCAUGCAUCAGGAAGGAAACCAGGCCAAAGGCAGCUGGUGCCUUGUGCAGCAUAAUUGCAACAAACACUAUCAACUGGACACUAGUCUGAGAAGUAGAAGCUGCUGCACCCAAUGCAACACCAUCAGCUGCAGCAUGGACCACUAAUCCCAGCGUUGUGGUGAUUUUGGAAUUGCCUGAUCUAGCAGCUUCUGGAUCAUCUGUUGAGUGCACAUGAGAGCUGCCUAUCUGGUCAACCAGAAGCAUGAAGACAAAGCCAAGGACAAGCGAAACACCAAUGUAUGCGUGCAACCUGGAAUGGUCAUGGCCAUACUCAUGUACAACAGCGAUUUCGGCGACCUUCUCAGACUCCAUCACAUGCUGCAUCUCAUUUGCUGGGUGAUGCUUCCCCUCCAAAAUGUCUUCAUAAAGUGCAUGUACUCCUUCCGGCACAAUGACAGCCAAGGCAGUUCCACACAGCAGCCC